rnacentral:sRNA from 2 species
CUCUGCUGAAGAAGGGCGGUCUAUAGGGGGCUUCAACUACUUCAACUACACCACUGCAAUCGUACAUGCGUAGUAAUAGAGCAAUACAUCCACGCCUCUAAGGGAUAUAUAUCCCCACCGGGCCUCUUCAUGUUCCAUGAAUGGCGGCCUAUCUGCCAACUAUCUACAACCUGCCUACAUAUACAUAUAUAUCUAUAUACAAGUAAGCUCGAGUUCACUGAAAUAAUACACAAAUAUUCCCUGCCUGUCUGUUCUUACUCCACUUAGCUCUAUUCCCAAAUCCCGAUUAUCUGGUGCACAUACAAACAAUAUAUAUCAAAUAUAUAUAUAUAUAUAUAUAUAUUGGGAGGGGAAGAAAAAGGUAAACAAAGAAUACAAGGCCAAUAACCCCAAAACUACCCACCCUUCGUCGGCGGCACCUUGUUCUGGAGCCGCUACGCGGACGCCUUGUCCGACACAGAAAAUUUCGACAACCGCUACCCUAGCGUGGAGGUGUGGAGAGAGAUAGGUUUGGGCAGAAAAGGGUCGAGAGGAAAAGGAGGGCAAGAGGGAGAGGAAGCAUCUAUCCUUCGUCGCACCGGAUCUUUGUUCCCAGUGCUGACCCGCUAGAUCUUCUUUCUAAGAAGAAUCUUAUCCUAACAUAACGGGGCAUGGAUAAUUUCAUUCAGGGAUAUCGGAUAUAUAUAUCAUAUGACCGCAUGCUGGGCGAAUAUUGAUUGACCUGCGAAAAACCGCGUCGGGUUGGCGGGUGGACAGGAUAUAGCCGCGAUUGCGGAUCGAGUGAAUAGUCCGACCUGCUUCUAGCGGGGAGUGCAGUACAGAGUAGUUACCUGGUGAUGAUGCUCCGACCAAGUCGAGAUCAAUAAAAGUUACGACGGGGUC